rnacentral:rRNA from 1 species
GAAUUUUGGACAAUGGGCGCAAGCCUGAUCCAGCCAUGCCGCGUGUGUGAAGAAGGCCUUCGGGUUGUAAAGCACUUUCGGACGGAACGAAAUCGCCCGGGUGAAUAGCCCGGGUGGAUGACGGUACCGGAAGCAGAAGCACCGGCUAACUACGUGCCAGCCGCCGCGGUAAUACGUAGGGUGCGAGCGUUAAUCGGGAUUACUGGGCGUAAAGCGUGCGCAGGCGGUCUCGUAAGACAGGUGUGAAAUCCCCGGGCUCAACCUGGGAACUGCGCUUGUGACUGCGAGGCUGGAGUGUGGCAGAGGGAGGUGGAAUUCCACGUGUAGCAGUGAAAUGCGUAGAGAUGUGGAGGAACACCGAUGGCGAAGGCAGCCUCCUGGGCCAGCACUGACGCUCAUGCACGAAAGCGUGGGGAGCAAACAGG